GUGGGGAAACGAGAGAGAGAGAGAGAGAGAGAGAGAGAGGGGAGGGGAGGGGAGGAGGGGGAGGGGGGCGACAGAGAUUACAUCAUAACUAGCCUCAUCAUCAGCCAAUUAAUAGACCGGCAUCGUUACUAACAGCUCGUUUACCACCAAGCAGGACGCAAACAGCCGCACCUGCAGGCGCUGACGAUCCAAUUCGUGAUAAGUUUGUUCCAUAUAUACUGUACCUGAUGGCGCUGAGGGCAAAUAUAAAGCUGCUCUGUGACGCUACUGCACAAAAUCAGCCACAAUGACAUUAAGGGUUUUAUUAACGCGAUGGAAUGAUUUUCCUUCCAACGUCCAGGCCGAUUCCUGAAGUCACCUCUCACUGGACGGGAAACAUAAAGCAAAGGUCAUAUCUUCCUGUAAGCGUUUUACAUUUCAUGGAGAUUUUCUGUAUUUGUUGUUUCUCACACCAUGAGUCUACAUUUACCAAAUGUAGUGACGAAAGGGUGGCGUGAGAGUGAAGCACGUGCAACAUUAAACUAACUAACCUGUGAUUCAGGUUCAACAGUGAUGAAUAAAGCUAAUUAUUAUUAACUGUACUAAUUGAAACAAUCCCAUAAAAUCUGGGCAGAAUAGGCAGCAAAGCUCUAAGAUGAGUUACGGUUCUGUGCUUCACUGCUUUCAAUAAAAAAAUUCAACUGUUCUAUAACAUCAGACCAAACCUGACUCAUCCGGCCAACAUCAACCCAGAAAGUUAGUGGAACAGGAUCCAAAGUUCAGUUUGUCCUAGUCAGCUGCUUUUCUGAAUAAUCCUGACUUUGUCUGACUCCUACGUGGCGACUGAUCACGUCCGUGCCUUCAUUACGUUAAGAUAAAUGAAGCAGAUGAACCAUGAGUUGAUACUGUAGCAGAUCAAUGACAUCAAUCGCUAAAAAAUAUUAACAAAACCCAAGUGUUCCCAAGGAAAAAAGCCACUACAGUAAUAGGAAGUGGACGUACGUCUGCCAGCAAAGAUGCAUCACUGCUCUUUACUGAUGAUCUUUAAUACUCACAUUCAGCCAAAUGCCAAAAAAAUGACUGGACGCUGCUUCAAAGUGCUGAUGGACAACAGCCCUAAACAAACUGCGGAAGCAAUUCAAUUCUGUUUGAAGGCAAAGAAGUGAAACCCAUUAGUCAGUUGUUUGGUUCUGAGCCAAGGGAGCAGCUUUUUCCUUAAUGAAGACAAGACUGACGACAGGAAGACCAACAAACCGCUGACUGGACGAUGGGGUCGGUCUUAUUCUGAAGGGUUUACUUCCUGUUUCUCCAUCCCUCACUCGACCAUAGUGACUUGAAUGCCAAUUGUUUUUUUCUGUUCUUUCUAAGGUUUGGGGGAAAUGGGCAGUGAGAGAGGUAGUUAUAGGAUGCAGGAUAGUAAUUUCAGUGCCAUAGGAUGAUUAAUUAUGAUUUCUAUUAACAAACUGAAUAACCUCUAGAGAUGUCAGACGUAAAGGUUCAGACACGACAGGAGUCCUUCAUGAUCAGUCAGUCAGUGUGAAACGUGGCUAAUCGAUGCAUUGUUUCAUCUGAGUUUUUCUAUUGCCUUUGUCAUAUUACAGUACACGCCGACUACAGGUCUCCAGUUUCACAGCCAGACUCCCUGUGUCUGAGAUCUCAGGUUCUAAUAAAACGUUGACCAUUAAUUACAGUGGCCCGGUCGGGUCUGCAGCAGCCAAAGCGCCACCCUGGGAGCCGUGGUUCUCUUCCUUUGUGUUCUCUCUCUGCCAGCAGUUGAGUUUGUGUUGAGAUAAGACGAGUGAAGAGCCUGAAGCUUCACUGUCAACAUCAGUCAGAGGAUUAAGAGCAAAGACAAAUUCCCCCGAGUCAUUAAUGGAGAGGCGACAAGGAGGAUGCUGUGACCUGACCUCCCCUACAUCAUUACCCACAGUCCUGGAGUCACGUCUCCUUUACAUCCUGAGCGACAGGCUGGAAUCAGGUGCUUCUGUCAAAGGAUUUGAAUUCUUUUGCUAUUAGGACAAUGCCAGUCACCACUGUUACCUAAUUUAAUCACUUUUGUCAAUAUGACUGAUUUGUAAUGAGGGUUUAAUAAUGCUGAGUGGAGCUAAAAAAACAGAUUGCUCCAUUAGUCCAUUGUGUUAUUUACUGACAACUUCAAACCUAUAAGUUACACGGUUACAUUUGGAGACUGUUUGAAAGAAACCAUCCAUUAACUCUGCUUCACCCCAUAAAUCCCUGCAGAUGUUUCUGCCUCCUCAUCAGGUGACAUCAGUUCUGGUCAGAACGCAGGUCGGGCCGACUGCUCUUCUCAGACACUUUUUGCUUUUGCACAAUGACAGCAGUUGUAACAUGACUGAAUGAGUCAGAGUCUGAAUUUAUUUACAGUAACAGCCUGAACCCAGAACCAGCGUGGUUGUGUCACGUUUGGCAGCAGUAGCAAGGCGAGGACCCAAACGCACAGCACACACAGGCUCAGGUUUGUGGAGAUUUAAUGAAACUCGUUGGUCUGACAGGCUCAGGUCGGUACACAGGUUUAGCAUGAAAGACAGCAGCAGUACAAAACAGGGAUCAGGCAAAGGCAGUCAGUGUCCACACGUGGUUCAAGUCAAGGUGAAAACGAGACCCGGGACUGGACUUACUAGAACGUGGACGCUGGAGCAUUGAUACAGGUAAUGUGAUCGAAGAAUCUGGCAAAUGCUAGCGGUGAGACAUGGUUCGUAAGUACACAUACAGAUUACAAAGUGGGUGCAGCUAAUAAGACAGGUAACAGCAGAUAAAGCUAGACAGAAUACCAGGAACUAAACAGGAAACAGUCAAAAUAAAACAGGAAACAAUACAGAAACAAGGCAGCGAUGCCGGAGGUGUGACAGGUUGGUUGGCUCUGCACCACGUCAGACUCCAGCUCCCUCAGCACAUGCACUGAUGGGACGAGUGAAGCAGAACAAGGAAGAACUACAUGCUAUCACAGUAGACAGAAAUUGUGACUCGUUCUCAUCUUUGUACAAAGCUCAUCUGCUGCAACUGCUUGCCACAAUUCUUCGAAGCAGCUGAAGGGAAAAUACGCCAUGUUGUUCUUCUCUAUUUGUUGUCCCAGCAUUCAAUAAAGCAGCUUGUCUUGUCCAUCUAAACAGGCUGAAUCCAUCACUCACUGUCUGACGGAUGAUUGAUGUUUCCAUCAGGGAGGCUGUGAUUGAGAGCCACCGCUGGCCAGCAGCAUCCAUCCCAUAAUACUCUCUGCUCUAUAAAUAAUGUUUAUCAACAGCAUUUCAUGUACUGAAGUAAAAAAAGGAUCAGACAGCAGGAAUAAGGCCCAGGCAUCUGUCCAGCCGUCAUUAGGACAGACCAAAGGUGGUCGGUUUCAGGGUAAAUGUCCAGCAGACGAUUCAGCUGGACACUGACUGAAGACCAACAAGAUGAAAAACCGUUUUCAUCACAGCUGCUUCUUCUCCAGUGAAUCUCCAGGAAAAUGCUUUCUACAGCAUUACUGGGGAACAGGACAAACUACACACAACUGGUCCAAGGCUAAACCUAAGACGAGUCGUGAACCUCUGAUGCUCGAAGAUCAGCCUCAAACUUCUUCAAUAAUUUAGCUUCAUUAAUGAAGAAGAAUUACUUUCACAAUCUCAGUCUCUGAAAAACACCAGAAGCCUCAUUAGGAUUUUAAUAGAUUCUGUAGAAGGAGGAAGAGGGAGAAAAACGCAUGAUGGACGACUGAAGACUCUCAAGACCAAGAUCAUGUACAGUACUUUCCUAUUCUGCUUCAAUGCACAUUUAUCUUUGCAGUUUUAUUUGACCCACAGAUGAAGGAGUCGAAUCACAAAAUGUUACAGCAUUUAUUGUUUCUACGUUUAGUUGGUAAACAACAAACACUUCCACCCUUGCUGUGGGCUCUCACUCCAACAGACAGUGGUAUUGGUGUGGUAUCGAGAUCUACUGCUGAUCCACAUUCAUGACUAUAGUCCAUGUUUACAAAGUAUAUUAGAAAUGCAUUUAGAUCCGGGGUCAAACUGAUGCCGUCGAGGGCCGCUGCCCUGCUGCUUUUCCAACCCUUCCUGCCUCAGCUAACACUGAUCACCAUGACCGGUGUGUUCAGUCAAUGACAAGCUGGAAAAGCCGACUGACCACCUGAUCAAGGUAAUCAGAGAUUCAUGUUUGUAUUGGAUUGUUUUGUGUAAUUUUUGCAGGUGAAAAACCUGUAAAACAUGGUAAAUAUGCUUAUUUAAUCCAUAAACAGUGUGUUUAGCUCACAGGUUUCCAGUUGACAACACACAUUUUCUAACUCAGAUGAUUGGAGUGAGGCCUGAAGUUCAUUUUAAAAAGGCCUGACAGCGUGCUUCCGCUGCCAACACUCCUGAUACCUUCAUUUCACUUACUCUACAGUUGUUUAUGAGCCACAUACCCAUCUGUGUUUUUAGCUUAAUUACUUCAGGGUUGUGUGUAGUCACUGAUGAGUUGUUGAAGAUGGGAAAAGAAGCGAGACGUGGAAAAAUGGGAGCGUAAGAAACAAAUGAUGUGAUGAGUCUCUAACUGGCAGA